GCCCAAGAGAUCGGGAUAACACCUGGAAACAAGAUGCUAAUACCGGAUAACAAUAGAUGAUGCCUAUCAACUGUUUAAAAGAUGGUUCUGCUAUCACUCUUGGAUGGACCUGCGGUGCAUUAGCUAGUUGGUAGGGUAACGGCCUACCAAGGCGAUGAUGCAUAGCCGAGUUGAGAGACUGAUCGGCCACAUUGGGACUGAGACACGGCCCAAACUCCUACGGGAGGCAGCAGAC
rnacentral:rRNA from 1 species